rnacentral:rRNA from 1 species
AACGUAGGAGACAAACGUUAUCCGGAGUUACUGGGCGUAAAGGGCGUGUAGGCGGUUGGUUAAGUCUGGCGUGAAAGCUCUCGGCUAAACCGGGAGAGGUCGUUGGAUACUGGCCGACUAGAGGACGGUAGAGGCGUGUGGAAUUCCGGGUGUAGUGGUGAAAUGCGUAGAUAUCGGGAGGAACACCUAUGGCGAAGGCAGCUCGCUGGGACGUUACUGACGCUGAGACGCGAAAGCGUGGGGAGCAAACAGG